AUGCUUUAACAUGCAAGUCGAGCGGCAGCGCGGGGCAACCUGGCGGCGAGCGGCGAACGGGUGAGUAAUGCAUCGGAACAUGUCCAUGUCGUGGGGGAUAGCCCGGCGAAAGCCGGAUUAAUACCGCAUACGCCCUGAGGGGGAAAGUGGGGGACCGCAAGGCCUCACGCGAUUGGGUUGGCCGAUGUCCGAUUAGCUAGUUGGCGGGGUAAGAGCCCACCAAGGCGAUGAUCGGUAGCUGGUCUGAGAGGAUGAUCAGCCACACUGGGACUGAGACACGGCCCAGACUCCUACGGGAGGCAGCAGUGGGGAAUUUUGGACAAUGGGGGCAACCCUGAUCCAGCCAUUCCGCGUGAGUGAAGAAGGCCUUCGGGUUGUAAAGCUCUUUUGUCCGGAACGAAACGGUUACGGUGAAUACCCGUGACUACUGACGGUACCGGAAGAAUAAGCACCGGCUAACUACGUGCCAGCAGCCGCGGUAAUACGUAGGGUGCGAGCGUUAAUCGGAAUUACUGGGCGUAAAGCGUGCGCAGGCGGUUUUGUAAGCCAGAUGUGAAAGCCCCGGGCCUAACCUGGGAAAGGCAUUUGGGACUGCAAGGCUUGAGUGCGGCAGAGGAGACUGGAAUUCCUGGUGUAGCAGUGAAAUGCGUAGAUAUCAGGAGGAAUACCGAUGGCGAAGGCAGGUCUCUGGGCUGACACUGACGCUCAUGCACGAAAGCGUGGGGAGCAAACAGGAUUAGAUACCCUGGUAGUCCACGCCCUAAACGAUGUCGACUGGUUGUUGGGGGUUUGACACUCUCAGUAACGAAGCUAACGCGUGAAGUCGACCGCCUGGGGAGUACGGCCGCAAGGUUAAAACUCAAAGGAAUUGACGGGGACCCGCACAGGCGGUGGAUUAUGUGGAUUAAUUCGAUGCAACGCGAAAAACCUUACCUACCCUUGAC
rnacentral:rRNA from 1 species